rnacentral:rRNA from 1 species
GAUGAACGCUGGCGGCGUGCCUAAUACAUGCAAGUCGAGCGAACGGACGAGAAGCUUGCUUCUCUGAUGUUAGCGGCUGACGGGUGAGUAACACGUGGAUAACCUACCUAUAAGACUGGGAUAACUUCGGGAAACCGUAGCUAAUACCGGAUAAUAUUUUGAACCGCAUGGUUCAAAAGUGAAAGACGGUCUUGCUGUCACUUAUAGAUGGAUCCGCGCUGCAUUAGCUAGUUGGUAAGGUAACGGCUUACCAAGGCAGCUAUGCAUAGCCGACCUGAGAGGGUGAUCGGCCACACUGGAUCUGAGACACGGUCCAGACUCCUACGCGAGGCAGCAGUAGGGAAUCUUCCGCAAGGGGCGAAAGCCUGACGGAACAACGCCGCGUGAGUGAUGAAGGUCUUCGGAUCGUAAAACUCUGUUAUUAGGGAAGAACAUAUGUGUAAGUAACUGUGCACAUCUUGACGGUACCUAAUCAGAAAGCCACGGCUAACUACGUG